AAGUUUUUAACAAGGUUUCCGUAGGUGAACCUGCGGAAGGAUCAUUGUCG
rnacentral:rRNA from 1 species